GGGGAUCUAGCUCAUCGGUAGAGCGCUCCCUUAGCAUCAAUCCGGAGUUGAACCUGGAUAUGAUUGGGAGAGGCGCCGGGUUCGACUCCCUGGUUCUCCA